CUGGUUGAUAACAGCUGCACUGGCAUAUUGUAAACAAUAACGCAACUCAUUUAAAAAGUCGACAUCUGAGGUAAAUUGCCCGUACCACGAUAUUACAAACGACUCCAAAAUUUUAUUAUAAAACUUUUCAAUCACACAAUUGAGUUCUUUGGGAAUGUACAAAUCCUUCCACGGCGCUACAGCUUUAUUCUGCUGGUGCCUCUUACACGAUAAAUCGUCACAAAUGCUGCAUGACUGCUUCAGUUUCUUUCUAGACGAAUGACUCCCAUAACAAAAACUGACCAAACCCGAAAGAUAAGCAGAAGCUACGAUCUGGUAUUUUAAAAAACACCAAGACACCAAACAUCCUAAUAUGUAGCCUCCGUAAAUAAUAACACCGGCUAAGGAACUAAAAAACUUAAGUAAAUAAGUGAAUCAAAACUAUGCAAUUCCAACCUAACAAAUACUGUAACAAACGCUGAGAAUAUCGUUACAGCUAGGGCCGCAAAUCGGCUGUAUUUGUCGUUAGCGAUUAGAGUCACAAUGUUAAAAAUGUCUUUGUGGAUCAUUUUGGGGCCACAACAUAACCUUAUGCUUCGCUGACAGGAGCUGUCAUCGUGACAUGUGAGGUUAAAACAGACACUAAAUCAAUGAAAUCUCUUUUUUUUUCAUUUAUAUUAUGUUAAGAAUGCGCCACCACCACAUUUUUACAAUGGUAUUUAAACCAAAACUUGGCCUAGUUUUAGAAAGAGUCAAUAAAUAUUUCGUUGAUAAUUAUAGUUAUUUUUGAAACGUGCAGAUGGAGUCACAAUUCAAAAUUAUGAAAUUGAGCGUGAAAUAAUGUCGCAAAACCUACAAUUUAAAAAUACCGUGACAAGAGGAUUGGCUUAUGAUUCGCGUCAAAUGUUUAUUUUUACAUUCAUUUCAAAAGUCGAAAUUGUAGGGGGAAUUUUGAGGAAAAGGAAAAAAAGUGCUUCAAAUAGUAUUUAUUUUGUACGUGUUAUAGAUAGAAUACAUAUUUGUUGGUGUCAUUUUAUAUUAAUUGCUAAUUAUGUUGUCAAAAUAUUAUAUUAAGCUUCAUAUCAAUUAAUUGUU